GGACAAGGGGAUUCCGACUGCUUAAUUAAAACAAAGCAUUGCGAUGGCCUCAGAAGAUGUUGGCGCUAUCUCAUGUCUGCUCAAUGCUCUGAAUGUCAAAGUGAUCAAAUUCAAAAAGGCGCAGAUAAACGGCGGGAGCAAUUACGAAUCUCUUACGGUAGCCAAAUGCCUAGUCCUCUAAUUAGUGACGCGCAUGAACGGAUUAACGAGAUUCCC
rnacentral:ncRNA from 1 species